GAUGAAGAACGUAGCGAAAUGCGAUAAGUAAUGUGAAUUGCAGAAUUCAGUGAAUCAUCGAAUCUUUGAACGCACAUUGCGCCCGCCAGCACUCUGGCGGGCAUGCCUGUUCGAGCGUCAUUUCAACCAUCAAGCCCCCAGGGGCUUGUGCUGGGGCCCUGCGGCUGCCCGCAGGCCCUGAAAACCAGUGGCGAGCUCGCUAGUCACACCGAGCGCAGUAGCACAUCUCGCUCAGGGCGUGCGGCGGGCUCCUGCCGUGAAACCCCCCACUGUAACCCCAAAGGUUGACCUCGGAUCAGGUAGGAAUACCCGCUGAACUUAAGCAUAUCAAUAAGCGGAGGA
rnacentral:misc_RNA from 1 species